UACGUAGGGGGCAAGCGUUGUCCGGAAUCAUUGGGCGUAAAGAGCGCGUAGGCGGCCUAGUAAGUCCGCUCUGAAAGUCAGGGGCUCAACCCCUGAAUGCGGGUGGAUACUGCUGGGCUAGAGUCCGGAAGAGGCGAGUGGAAUUCCUGGUGUAGCGGUGAAAUGCGCAGAUAUCAGGAGGAACACCGGUGGUGUAGACGGCUUUCUGGACCGUAACUGACGCUGAGACACGAAAGCGUGGGUAGCAAACAGG
rnacentral:rRNA from 1 species